rnacentral:rRNA from 1 species
UCCAGACUCCUACGGGAGGCAGCAGUGGGGAAUAUUGCACAAUGGGGGAAACCCUGAUGCAGCGACGCCGCGUGAAGGAAGAAGUAUUUCGGUAUGUAAACUUCUAUCAGCAGGGAAGAAAAUGACGGUACCUGACUAAGAAGCCCCGGCUAACUACGUGCCAGCAGCCGCGGUAAUACGUAGGGGGCAAGCGUUAUCCGGAUUUACUGGGUGUAAAGGGAGCGUAGGCGGUUUAGCAAGUCAGAAGUGAAAGCCCGGGGCUCAACUCCGGGACUGCUUUUGAAACUGUUGAACUAGAUGGCAGGAGAGGUAAGUGGAAUUCCUAGUGUAGCGGUGAAAUGCGUAGAUAUUAGGAGGAACACCAGUGGCGAAGGCGGCUUACUGGACUGUAAAUGACGCUGAGGCUCGAGAGCGUGGGGAGCAAACAGGAUUAGAUACCCUAGUAC